rnacentral:misc_RNA from 1 species
GAUGAAGAACGUAGCGAAAUGCGAUACGUAAUGUGAAUUGCAGAAUUCAGUGAAUCAUCGAAUCUUUGAACGCAUAUUGCGCUCUUUGGUAUUCCGAAGAGCAUGCUUGUUUGAGUAUCUGUAAACACCUCAAAGCUUUUGGAUUUUUUAAUCGAAAAGCUUUGGACUUGAGCAAUCCCAACACCAAUCUUUUUGAGAUCGGUGGCGGGUUGCUUGAAAUGCAGGUGCAGCUGGACAUUCUCCUGAGCUAAAAGCAUAUUCAUUUAGUCCCGUCAAACGGAUUAUUACUUUUGCUGCAGCUAACAUAAAGGGAGUUUGACCGUAUUGGCUGACUGAUGCAGGAUUUCACAAGGGUCGGCAACGAUUCUUGUUAAACUCGAUCUCAAAUCAAGUAAGACUACCCGCUGAACUUAAGCAUAUCAAUAAGCGGAGGA